GUGGUGGUGGUGGUGGUGGUGGUGGUGGUGGUUGGGGUGGUGGUGGUGGAAGUGACACCAGUGGAGGUGGUUUCAGUGGUGGGAGAUGGAGAAGACAUUAAUCCAGACGUGGUGGAGGCCGUUGUGGUCACAGGUGUGGAGGUGAGGCCUGUGGAGGUGCCUGGAGUUGUACUGGAGGCUGUGGUGGUCUCAGAUGACGUGGUGGAGGACAAUGUGGAGGUCAUGAGUGUUGUAGUGAGGCCUGUGGAGGUCCCUGGAGUGGUUGAGGAGGCCGUGGAGGUCACGGAAGAGGUUGUGGAGGCCACAGAGGAGGUCCCCAAAGUGGAGGUAAGGCCUGUGGAUGUUGCUGGAGUUGUGCUGGAGACGGUGGAGGUCUCAGCUGAGGUCAUGGAGGAUGAUGUGGUGGUCACUGGUGUGGUUGAGGAGACUGUGGAGGUCUCGGAGGAGGUGGUGGAGGCCACAGUCGAGGUCACUGCUGUGGAGGUGAGGCCUGUGGAGGUCAACGGUGUGGUUGAGGAGGCCAUGGAGGUCUCUUGGGAGGUGGUGGAGGCCGUUGUGGAGGUCACAGGUGUGGAGGUCAGGCCUGUGGAGGUGCCUGGAGUUGUGCUGGGCGUUGUGGAGGUCUCAGAAGAUGUGGUCGAGGCCGAUGUGGAGGUCAAAGCAGUGGAAGUGAGGCCUGUGGAGGUGUCUAGUGUGGUUGAGGAGGCCGUGGAGGUCUCUGAGGAGGUGGUGGAGGCCACAGUCGAGGUCGAAGGAGUGGAGGUGAGGCCUGUGGUGGUACCUGGAGAUGUUGAGGAGAUUGUGGAGGUCUCGGAAGAGGUGGUGGAGGCAGAUGUGGAGGUCAGGGUUGUGGAGGUGAGGUCUGUGGAGGUUUCUGGAGUAGAGGUGGAGGCCGUGGUGGUCUCAGAUGAGGUUGUAGAGGCCACUGUGGAGGUCACAGGUGUGGAGCUGAUGCCUGUGGAGGUCCCUGGAGUAGUUGAGGAUGACGUGGAAGUCUGUGGGGACGUGGUGGAGGCCGCUGUGGAGCUCAUGGCUGUGGAGGUCAGGCCUGUGGAGGUUCCUGGAGUUGUACUGGAAGCUGUGGAGGUCUCAGCUGAGGUGGUGGAGGCCACAGUGGAGGUCAAAGGAGUGGAGGUGAGUCCUGAGGAGGUCCCUGGAGUUGUUGAGGAGGCCAUGGAGGUCUCUGAAGAGGAGGUGGAGGCCACUGUGGAGGUCACAGGCGUGGAGGUGAGGCCUGUGGAUGUUGUUGGAGUUGUGCUGGAGAUGGUGGAGGUCUCACUAAAGGUUGUGGAGGAUGAUGUGGUGGUCACUGGUGUGGUUGAGGAGGCCAUGGAGGUCUCUGAGGAGGUGGUAGAGGCCACAGUCGAGGUCACUGGUGUGGAGGUCAAGCCUGUGGAGGUCAACGAUGUGGUUGAGGAGGCUGGGGAUGUCUGUGGGGAGGUUGAAGAGGCCGUUGUGGAGGUCUCCAGAGUGGAGGUGGAGGCCGUGGCGGUCUCAGAAGAGGUUGUGGAGGCCACUGUGGAGGUCACAGGUGUGGAGCUGACGCCUGUGGAGGUCCCUGGAGUAGUUGAGUAG
rnacentral:lncRNA from 1 species